rnacentral:lncRNA from 1 species
UAAGUUCAAGAACAAGCAGGGAAGGCAGAGCAAGAUGGCUGAAUAGAACCCUCCAGCAUUUGUCCCCCAAGCAAGAACACCAACUUGAACAACUAUCCACACAAGAAAGCACUUUCAGAAGAACUAAAACUCAGGACUUCAUUGACUUAACUAGAGAGAUCAGACCAAGGACAAAAGAUCGCAGUGGACUGUGUGAUUGACCUGACAAGAGCUGAGGGAGAAAAUAGACCUAUUGCCACUCUUGACUUAACUUUAGAACCUGUCACUCCUUCCCAGAGGGAGCCAACCAGUCUUCAGACAUGUGCCAGCCUCUCUGGCAAAGCGGUGAUGGAAGGGCAGGUGGACAGAAGCUCUCAGCCUACAGCACGGAGACUCAUUAACAGUGAUCCUGUAGAUUUGGACCUAGUGGAAGAAAACACCUUUGUAGGUCCCCCACCCGCUACAUCCAUCAGUGGAGGCUCUGUUUAUCCAACAGAGCCUAAUUGUAGCUCAGCCACAUUCACAGGUAACCUCAGCUUCUUGGCAAGUCUACAGCUGUCUUCAGAUGUUAGCUCCCUCUCCCCAACAAGCAAUAAUAGUAGCAGCAGCAGCAGCAAUCAAAAAGUACCCUUGCCAUGCCCACAGCAAGAUGUGUCUCGCCCACCACAAGCCUUGCCUUGCCCACUGAGAGCCUCACCUUGUCCACCACGAGCCUUGUCAUGCCCAUCACAAACCAUGCAGUGCAAACUACCAGCUCUAACUCAACCACCUCAAGAAGUGCCAUGCCCUCGGCAGAAUAUCCCAAGCCCACCUCAAGACUCGUUAUGGCAUCCUCAACACUCACCAAGCCCACCUCAAGACUCUCUGGGCCUACCUCAAGAUGUGCCAGGCCCGCCUCAAAGCAUAUUACAUCCACAAGAUGUGGCAUACCUGCAAGACAUGCCACAGUCACCAGGAGAUGUGCCACGGUCACCAGGAACCAUGCCACCAUCACCAGAUGUGCCACAGUCAACAGGAGACAUGCUAGGGUCACCAGGAGAUGUGCCACAGUCACCAAGUUAUGUUUCACCGUCACCAGAUGCACCACAGUCACCAGGGGGCAUGCCACACUUACCGGGAGAUGUGUUACAUUCACCUGGAGACAUGCCACACUCAUCAGGGGACGUGACACACUCACCUAGAGACAUCCCUCACUUACCAGGAGACAGGCCUGACUUUACCCAGAAUGAUGUACAGAACUGUGACAUGCCUAUGGAUAUCUCAGCUGCGUCCCCUCCAAGCUGCUCUCCCAGCCCACAGUCUGAAACUCCCUUAGAGAAAGUUCCUUGGCUCUCUGUCAUGGAAACCCCAGCCAGAAAAGAAAUAUCACUGUCAGAGCCUGCCAAACCUGGGUCUGCCCACGUACAAUCACGAACACCACAAGGUGGGUUGUACAACAGACCAUGCCUGCAUAGACUGAAGUACUUCUUACGACCUCCGGUUCAUCAUCUGUUCUUUCAGACGCUAAUACCGGAUAAAGACACGAGAGAACAAGGGUCAAAAAUUAGAACCCAUCCCUCAUCGAAGACUAAGAAUGGUAACAAAUACCAUUGAAGAGAAUUUUCCCCUGGGGACUGUGCAGUUUUUGAUGGACUUUGUGUCACCCCAGCAUUACCCACCAAGAGAAAUCGUGGCUCACAUCAUCCAGAAAAUCUUGCUCAGUGGCUCUGAGACUGUGGAUGUCCUAAAGGAGGCCUACAUGCUUCUCAUGAAAAUUCAACGGCUACAUCCAGCCAAUGCCAAGACAGUGGAGUGGGACUGGAAACUGCUCACCUAUGUCAUGGAGGAAGAGGUAACAACAAUUAUAAGAUUAUAUCUUCUGUAGGGGAAGUUUUAACUAUAAAGAAAAGUGAUACCAGGUGCCAUGGCUCACACCUGUAAUCCCAGCAUUUUCAGAGGCCGAGGCAGUAGGACAGUUUGAGCCCAGGAGUUUAAGGCCAGCCUGGGCAACAAAGUGAGACCCUGUCUCUACAAAAAUAAAAAUAAAAUAUUUAGCCAGGCAUAGUGAUGCAUGCCUGUGGUCCCAGCUACACAGAAGGCUGAGGCAGGAGGAUUGCUUGAGCCUAGGAGGUCAAGGCUAUAGUGAUCCAUGAUCACAACACUGUACUCCAGCCUCGGUGACAGAGCAAGACCCUGUCUUAAAAGAAAAAAGAAAAGUGACAGUAAAUCUGGUAAUAAAGUCUACACCAUUAUUCCCUCCUGAUACUCC